GCAAAAGAUAUAGAGGGUGGAAAGCUUUUUUGACAAACACUUAUCUUAAGGAUAAAGAUGGAAACUUUCUUGAAGAGGCACCGGGACGGCCAAAAAAGUAUGAGAUCUUCAUUGGUGAAGAAGAUUGGGCUAAGUUUGUAGAGCAAAGAGAUGAAGAUUUUCGGAAAAGGAGUGCCAAGAAUAGUGAGAGAGCAUCCAAACCCGCAUAUCCAUACAAAAAAGGGCGUUUGGGAUAUGCACGCUUGGAGGAUAAAAUUUUAGAGGAGACUAAAAGUGAGGAAACCUCACUUCCUGAACAUGUGUUGUGGAGGGAAGCUCGUGUGGGCAAGGAUCAUGCUGUCGAUCCCGAAGUUCAGAGAGUUUUUACUGAAUGUGAGACCUUGUCGCAAUCGGCAUCCACCGGUGAGGGGAGCAUACUUAGUAGAGCACUAGAUGCUCCUGAGUAUCCCGGUCGGGUGAGGGGUAAGGGUCAUGGUGUGACUCCAACCUCUUUUUACAAAAGUCCUAGGAGAA